CUCAAAGGAAUUGACGGGGGCCCGCACAAGCGGUGGAGCAUGUGGUUCAAUUCGACGCAACGCGAAGAACCUUACCCAGGCUCGAACGGCAUCGGACAUCCGGCGAAAGCCGGCUCCCGCAAGGGUCGAUGUCGAGGUGCUGCAUGGCUGUCGUCAGCUCGUGUCGUGAGAUGUUGGGUUAAGUCCCGCAACGAGCGCAACCCUUGUCCUCUGUUGCCAUCACGUUAUGGUGGGCACUCUGAGGAGACUGCCGGUGAUAAACCGGAGGAAGGUGGGGAUGACGUCAAGUCAGCAUGGCCUUUAUGUCUGGGGCUACACACGUGCUACAAUGGCCGGUACAAACCGUCGCGAUCUCGCAAGAGGGAGCUAAUCGGAGAAAGCCGGUCUCAGUUCGGAUUGCAGGCUGCAACUCGCCUGCAUGAAGUUGGAAUCGCUAGUAAUCGCGGAUCAGCACGCCGCGGUGAAUACGUUCCCGGGCCUUGUACACACCGCCCGUCACAUCACGAAAGCCGGCUGUACUAGAAGUCGCCGUGCUAACCCGCAAGGGAGGCAAGCGCCUAAGGUAUGGUCGGUGAUUGGGGUGAAGUCGUAACAAGGUAA
rnacentral:rRNA from 1 species